CUCAGUUUUCUAAUCUGAAAAAUGAGAAUAUUAACCAUAGACAACUGCCACUCACUGAACACCAGCUGCAGUAGAGCCGAGCAUACACGUAAUCCUCACCGCAACCAUAGGAGCUGGAUCCUGACAUCCCCAUCUCACAGAGGAGGAGACUGAGGUUAAUGACGUGGCAAAUAUCCACAAUGACAGUUUCUGCAAGUCUUUCCUAGUGCAAUCACCCACAACCACAGCCCUAGAAAGAAGGAUGAACACUCUUCCACAGAGGCUGGCACGCACCUUAAGGCAGGUGCCCACUGGAACCCUGUCUGUGGUGUCAAGGAUUUUACAGUUGACCUUGAAGACCACCUAGUCCAAAGCUCUCAUUGUACAAAAAGCCAAGCCCAGAGGUCACACAAAGCUUUGGACCUGAGCCUCUGGGCCCCGCGGUCUGGAAAGUGCUCCUUUCUCUGCAUGCUACGGGGCUAUCAACUUGAGCUGGUCCAGUCUGCAGAUCUACAUCCUGCCCGCCUGAGCAGAGGCGGGUGUGGGACCAGUGCGGAUCUCCACGAUUUGUCAGCCCAUCCUGAUAAGUCUGAGGCUCUGACCAUCAUAUCUCAUCACAGCAUCAUUAGGAUUACAAGUGCCAUGCGGUAGAAGAGGAAGGGAAACACGAACAAAAGGAUGAGAAAUUAAGCCCAUUUCACCCGGAAAAGAUGACUCUGAUUUAUUGCUCUAUAGCAGCUGACGAUGGCCUGUCAGAGAAAUUCUGUGUUGAAAAUAAAGAAUAAAAAUCACCCAGAGUUGUUUUGCCACACAUCCAAAUUAGAAAAUGCUACUCUCCGGAUGAUUUAUGCUUCAAUUUUUUCCCUUAUUCACAGAGAAUUUGUCCAGCAUUACAAGAGCACCUAAGAGCAAUAAUACAAUUCAAAAGGAGAUAGAAGAGGCCGCAGAGGUGUUGAUGUGCGGCUGAGGGCGGGGUGCUGGCCCAAAGGCAGGGCUUUGGUGCUCAGAAGCAUUGACCUUACAGGGAGGAACAAGGAGAAACCAGCCAGGCAGGCCCCGCAGGCAGCCCACAGAGCCACUUCGCCGUGCAGCCGAGGGAGUCCCGCACCACGGGGCCUCGCUCAGGGUAGCCACCAUGGGAGAAUGUCCCCACCUCGUGGAUGUCAGGCUUGGCCACAGGUCCUUGGCCACGGGACCUGAGCAGAGUGACAUAUGCCACACUGGAUCAGAAGCACGCUGGACCACCACGUGGUAUGGCUCCCUUUCUUUCUCCCGUCAUAAGUACAAGAUGUUGGCUGACCUGACUCCUGGGGUAGAAAUGUCAUGUAGACACUGGGCGCGGUGGCUCACGCCUGUAAUCCCAGCACUUUGGAAGGCCGAGGCAGGUGGAUUGCCUGAGCUCAGGAGUUCGAGACCAGCCUGGACAACAUGGUGAAACCCGUCUCUACUAAUUUACAAAAAAAAUUAGCCAGGUGUGUUGGCACAUGCCUGUAGUCCCAGCUACGUGGGAGGCUGAGGCACGAGAAUUGCCUGAACCCCAGAGGUGGAGGUUGCAGUGAGCCGAGAUGGUACCUCUGCACUGCAGCCUGGGCAACAGAAUGAGACUGUGUCUUCAAAAAAAAAAAGCACUGUCAUGCAGGGCAGGGUCCCAAGGCCCCAGCCAACCUCUCGUUGACAUGUAAUGUAAGAAGAUGUCAACUCAUGCUUAUAGUCACUGACAUUUAGGAAUAGUCUGUUACCACAGCAUAAGCUGGUAAAAAAAAAAAUCAUACAGCUCUUCUUCCCGGAACGCCCCUGCACCUCUGCUCCGGUGCACAAAUGCUUUCUCUUCAAGGCAUGGCGCAAAAAAGCCACUACUUCCAGAAGCAUCUCCUCAUUCCCCGCCGGGAGCAACAUCUCUCUUCUCGAGACCCCAGCCCCUCCGCUGUCUACCCAUGGACUUCCUCAGUGUUUGUUUUUUGCAUGAUUCUUUGUGACCAAGCUGUUUCUCCAGCUGCCUUGAGGACAUGCCCUAGGGAACAGUGCUCUGAAUCGUACCUGGAUUCUGUGCCUACCUGCUCCAUCUAAAGCAGAAAACUCCACAACUAAGAUCUCUUCUAACAUUUAAGGAAUAGAGCCUAAUUAGCGCAUGAAUACGUGUUGAACUGUGAAUGAAUCAAUGAGUAUGGAAACUACAUUAUACGCAGUGCUGAUAGAACCAAGUUGCCAAGGGAGAUAUCAUCUCUCCUGCAGGAAGGAAGUCCUGCCUCCCACUGAUCCACUCAGCGCACAGCCUUGAACAAAACAGAGCAAGAGUUAUAACCUUCAGAUGUGGGGGCAGAAUAGGACCCAUUUGGGCAGACACAGGCCACGGAAACCACAGGGCCAGCGUCUUGAGCCCUCGAUCAGACGCCUCCCGCCCACCGCGGCCGCUUCUCCACGCUUUUGCCCAGAUCUCUGCACCGCGUGGCCCGGUCUUGCCUCCCUGAGGACCACACUGGCUGCAACCCAAACUCGACUCUUCUACUUACACUUGCUCAGCAUUUUUGUCAUCCCUGCCCUUGGCCAAUCCCUGUCUUGGUUUCUGCUCUUCCCACACAAAGUUUUGGGAAUCAAUUCAUACAUAUUUGAGAUUAACCAAAGUCCAUGAUCAGUUCUGGACCGCUAUGGAUUCCAGAUCCACCUUACGUAGCCGUGUGAGCUCCGGUAAAUUACAUAACCCAUCAAAUUUCUUUAUCUAUAAAGCAGCAACAAUAAUGUCACGAAGGAUUAAGGUAAAGAUGAGAAAUAGUAUAGCAAAA
rnacentral:lncRNA from 1 species